AGAAUCAACGCUGGCGGCGUGCCUAACACAUGCAAGUCGAACGCGGUUACCCCGCAAGGGGUAGCUGAGCGGCAAACGGGUGAGUAACGCGUGGGUGACCUACCUUCGAGUGGGGGAUAACGUUUCGAAAGGAACGCUAAUACCGCAUGACAUCCUGCCUUUGGACAGGCGGAGAUCAAAGCCGGGGAUCGUAAGACCUGGCGCUUGAAGAGGGGCCCGCGUCCGAUUAGCUAGUUGGUGGGGUAACGGCUCACCAAGGCGACGAUCGGUA
rnacentral:rRNA from 1 species